rnacentral:rRNA from 1 species
UACGGAGGGGGCUAGCGUUGUUCGGAAAUACUGGGCGUAAAGCGCACGUAGGCGGCGCAGCAAGUCAGGGGUGAAAUCCCGGGGCUCAACCCCGGAACUGCCCUUGAAACUGCAGUGCUAGAAUUCUGGAGAGGCGAGUGGAAUUCCGAGUGUAGAGGUGAAAUUCGUAGAUAUUCGGAAGAACACCAGUGGCGAAGGCGACUCGCUGGACAGACAUUGACGCUGAGGUGCGAAAGCGUGGGGAGCAAACAGG